rnacentral:SRP_RNA from 1 species
GAGCCAGCGCGGACGCGCGGAUCGCUAACCCGGUCAGGUCCGAGAGGAAGCAGCCGUAACGAAACCCGCCUGGGCCGAUUGCUGGUUCCCG